rnacentral:rRNA from 1 species
CCUACGGGUGGCAGCAGUGGGGCAUAUUGCACAAUGGGGGAAACCCUGAUGCAGCACCGCCGCGUGAAGGAAGACGGUUUUCGGAUUGUAAACUUCUGUUUUUAGUGAAGAAUAAUGACGGUAGCUAAGGAGCAAGCCACGGCUAACUAAGUCCCAGCAGCCGCGGGAAUACGUAGGUGGCAAGCGUUGUCCGGAAUUACUGGGUGUAAAGGGAGCGCAGGCGGGAAGCAAAGUCAGCUGUGAAAACUACGGGGUUAACUUGUAGGCUGCGGUUUAAACUGGUUUUCUUGAGUGAAGUAGAGGUUGGCGGAAUUCCGAGUGUAGCGGUGAAAUGCGGAGAUAUUCGGAGGAACACCGGUGGCGAAGGCGGCCAACUGGGCUUUAACUGACGCUGAGGCUCGAAAGUGUGGGGAGCAAACAGGAUUAGAUACCCGGGUAGUC